AAAGUCUCGCAAGGGAUGAGUAGCGUGGCAAACGGGUGAGUAACACGUGGGUGACCUGCCGUCGAGUGGGGGAUAACGUCCCGAAAGGGACGCUAAUACCGCAUGAUAUGCGCUCGUUGAAGCGAGCGACAUCAAAGCUGGGGACCGCAAGGCCUGGCGCUUGACGAGGGGCCCGCGCCUGAUUAGCUAGUUGGUGGGGUAAUGGCUCACCAAGGCCACGAUCAGUAUCCGGCCUGAGAGGGCGGACGGACACACUGGGACUGAGACACGGCCCAGACUCCUACGGGAGGCAGCAGUGGGGAAUUGUUCGCAAUGGGCGCAAGCCUGACGACGCAACGCCGCGUGGAGGAUGAAGACCUUCGGGUCGUAAACUCCUUUCGAUCGAGACGAACGGCCUCCGGGGUAAUACUCUGGAGGAGUGACGGUACCGAGAGAAGAAGCCCCGGCUAACUCCGUGCCAGCAGCCGCGGUAAUACGGGGGGGGCAAGCGUUGUUCGGAAUUACUGGGCGUAAAGGGCUCGUAGGCGGCCCACUAAGUCAGACGUGAAAUCCCUCGGCUUAACCGGGGAACGGCGUCUGAUACUGGAGGGCUUGAGUUCGGGAGAGGGAUGCGGAAUUCCAGGUGUAGCGGUGAAAUGCGUAGAUAUCUGGAGGAACACCGGUGGCGAAGGCGGCAUCCUGGACCGAGACUGACGCUGAGGAGCGAAAGCCAGGGGAGCAAACGGGAUUAGAUACCCCGGUAGUCCUGGCCCUAAACGAUGAAUGCUUGGUGUGGCGGGUAUCGAUCCCUGCCGUG
rnacentral:rRNA from 1 species